rnacentral:rRNA from 1 species
UACGUAGGGUGCGAGCGUUGUUCGGAAUUACUGGGCGUAAAGCGUGCGCAGGCGGUGAUGUAAGACAGGUGUGAAAUCCCCGGGCUUAACCUGGGAACUGCAUUUGUGACUGCAUCGCUGGAGUGCGGCAGAGGGGGAUGGAAUUCCGCGUGUAGCAGUGAAAUGCGUAGAUAUGCGGAGGAACACCGAUGGCGAAGGCAAUCCCCUGGGCCUGCACUGACGCUCAUGCACGAAAGCGUGGGGAGCAAACAGG